rnacentral:misc_RNA from 1 species
AUACACCCCGCGCAGCAACAUUGUUACAUGUUUGCGUUGGGGAAACGAUGUGUGACACCCAGGCAGGCGUGCCCUCGGCCUAAUGGCUUCGGGCGCAACUUGCGUUCAAAGACUCGAUGGUUCACGGGAUUCUGCAAUUCACACCAAGUAUCGCAUUUCGCUGCGUUCUUCAUCGAUGCUUACCGACAGCU